UGGGAGGGAGGGAGAUGCAAGAGGGAAGAGAUAUGGGAACAUAUGUGUAUGUAUAACUGAUUCACUUUGUUGUAAAGCAGAAACUAACACACCAUUGUAAAGCAAUUAUACUCCAAUAAAGAUGUUAAAAAAAAAAAGUGGCCCCCGCUUGCCGCAACUAGAGAAAGCCCUCGCACAGAAACGAAGACCCAACACAGCCAAAAAUAAGAUAAAUAAAUUUAUUAAAU